CUACGGGCGGCAGCAGCAAGGAAUAUUGUACAAUGGGGGAAACCCUGAUACAGCAACGCCGCGUGAAGGAAGAAGGCCUUCGGGUUGUAAACUUCUGUUUUAGAGGAAGAAAAAAAUGACGGUACUCUUAGAGGAAGCCCCGGCAAACUACGUGCCAGCAGCCGCGGUAACACGUAGGGGGCAAGUGUUGCCCGGAAUCACUGGGCGUAAAGGGCGCGUAGGCGGUUUAUUAAGUUGCAUGUGAAAUCCCAGGGCUCAACUCUGGACCUGCAUGCAAAACUGGUAGACUUGAGUAUGGCAGAGGCAAGUGGAAUUCCUAGUGUAGCGGUGGAAUGCGUAGAGAUUAGGAGGAACACCAGUGGCGAAGGCGACUUGCUGGGCCAAAACUGACGCAGAGGCGCGAAAGCGUGGGGAGCAAACAGGAUUAGAUACCCUAGUAGUC
rnacentral:rRNA from 1 species